UAGGGAAUCUUCGGCAAUGGACGGAAGUCUGACCGAGCAACGCCGCGUGAGUGAAGAAGGUUUUCGGAUCGUAAAGCUCUGUUGUUAGAGAAGAACGUUGGUAGGAGUGGAAAAUCUACCAAGUGACGGUAACUAACCAGAAAGGGACGGCUAACUACGUGCCAGCAGCCGCGGUAAUACGUAGGUCCCGAGCGUUGUCCGGAUUUAUUGGGCGUAAAGCGAGCGCAGGCGGUUCUUUAAGUCUGAAGUUAAAGGCAGUGGCUUAACCAUUGUACGCUUUGGAAACGGGAGGACUUGAGUGCAGAAGGGGAGAGUGGAAUUCCAUGUGUAGCGGUGAAAUGCGUAGAUAUAUGGAGGAACACCGGUGGCGAAAGCGGCUCUCUGGUCUGUAACUGGCGCUGAGGCUCGAAAGCGUGGGGAGCAAACAGG
rnacentral:rRNA from 1 species